rnacentral:rRNA from 1 species
GAUGAACGCUGGCGGCGUGCCUAAUACAUGCAAGUCGAGCGAAUGGAUUAAGAGCUUGCUCUUAUGAAGUUAGCGGCGGACGGGUGAGUAACACGUGGGUAACCUGCCCAUAAGACUGGGAUAACUCCGGGAAACCGGGGCUAAUACCGGAUAACAUUUUGAACCGCAUGGUUCGAAAUUGAAAGGCGGCUUCGGCUGUCACUUAUGGAUGGACCAGCGUCGCAUUAGCUAGUUGGUGAGGUAACGGCUCACCAAGGCAACGAUGCGUAGCCGACCUGAGAGGGUGAUCGGCCACACUGGGACUGAGACACGGCCCAGACUCCUACGGGAGGCAGCAGUAGGGAAUCAUCCGCAAUGGACGAAAGUCUGACGGAGCAACGCCGCGUGAGUGAUGAAGGCUUUCGGGUCGUAAAACUCUGUUGUUAGGGAAGAACAAGUGCUAGUUGAAUAAGCUGACACCUUGACGGUACCUAACCAGAAAGCCACGGCUAACUACGUGCCAGCCGCCGCAGUAA